rnacentral:rRNA from 1 species
CGAAGCACUCUAUUUGAUUUUCUUCGGAGAUGAAGAUUUUGUGACUGAUUGGCGGACGGGUGAGUAACGCGUGGGUAACCUGCCUCAUACAGGGGGAUAACAGUUGGAAACGACUGCUAAUACCGCAUAAGCGCACGGUACCGCAUGGUACCGUGUGAAAAACUCCGGUGGUAUGAGAUGGACCCGCGUCUGAUUAGCUAGUUGGUGGGGUAACAGCCUACCAAGGCGACGAUCAGUAGCCGACCUGAGAGGGUGACCGGCCACAUUGGGACUGAGACACGGCCCAAACUCCUACGGGAGGCAGCAGUGGGGAAUAUUGCACAAUGGGGGAAACCCUGAUGCAGCGACGCCGCGUGAGCGAAGAAGUAUUUCGGUAUGUAAAGCUCUAUCAGCAGGGAAGAAAAAAUGACGGUACCUGACUAAGAAGCACCGGCUAAAUACGUGCCAGCAGCCGCGGUAAUACGUAUGGUGCAAGCGUUAUCCGGAUUUACUGGGUGUAAAGGGAGCGCAGGCGGUGCGGCAAGUCUGAUGUGAAAGCCCGGGGCUCAACCCCGGUACUGCAUUGGAAACUGUCGUACUAGAGUGUCGGAGGGGUAAGUGGAAUUCCUAGUGUAGCGGUGAAAUGCGUAGAUAUUAGGAGGAACACCAGUGGCGAAGGCGGCUUACUGGACGAUAACUGACGCUGAGGCUCGAAAGCGUGGGGAGCAAACAGGAUUAGAUACCCUGGUAGUCCA